UCGGACAAACAAACCAAAUGAAGACCAGCGCCGACACCUUGGAUUUCCUCAACUCUCCUUCUCUCUAUUAACAAGAAGACAACUGCAGUCGAAAAAAAAAAAUACAAACAGCGCUGCAGAACCAUCGAAUCCAACCUUCUCUCUCAUCUACAGCCGUAUCUCUUUGAAAUAAUACUCCCGCACUGUUAUUUAUCUCCUCAUGGGUCGAUCCUCCACAUCCACGUCAGCUCCCGAUGCAUCUUCCUCAUCUCCUCUAUCUCCAUAAGCCACGGUCCGUCGAGAUGGACCCGAAGCAGCAGCAGCGCCGGAAGCAGCCAAGGCUCGACCGUCGGAACGCCGUUAAGAACAUCGACUACGACGCCGUCUCCUCUCUGUCUCCCGAGUCGUCUGCUCUCCGGACCCGAUCCCUCGAUCUACCCCAUUACACCGGCCAGACCAGCUUCCGCAUCGAAGGCGUCGAAGGGGAAUUCGAUCUCCUCUGCCGCAAUCUCGGUCUCUCCGGUCCCGAGGAUUUCGCUAUCCCGACCGCCGCUUGGGAGGCGCGCAAGGCCCGAUCGUCGUCCGACCUUUUCCCGCGGUCGCGGCUGCAGGAUGUGGCUAGCGCUAAUUCGGCGGAGCCUGAGGGGAAGCGCGGUGAAGAGGAAUUGGUAGCUGAUUUUAGGGCUAGGGUUAGGGUUGGGGAUGAAGCUUCAUCGGGUGGGAUUAGAGGGGUCCGGCCGCCUGUUCUCUCCCCUCCGCCAGCAAUGUCGCGCCCUGUUGUUGACAUGUCUUGCUCGACUUGGGAUAUCUUGAGGUCGCUUGCGCCUGACGAUGAUGGAGCUUCUUCAUUGCCGGUUCGGUAUAGGUCCGAGGAUGAGGAGAACGGAGAGGAUGAGGAGAGUGGAGAGAAUGAGGAGGUCGAUGGAGCGGUUGGUGGAGGGGAUGAAGGGAGGGGGGUUAGAUUAGGUGAGACGGCAGAUCUUACAGGGUCAUGCUCGUUCUCGACAUCGAAUGAUGAUGAUUCGUCCAGCACAACAACGGAAGCCAUGUUUGUGAUUUCUCCGGAUGGGAAAUUCAAGCGGAAUAUCAAGUCAUGGAUACGUGGUGGGCUUCUUGGUAGCGGGUCAUUUGGGACAGUCUAUGAAGGGAUCAGCGACGAUGGGUUCUUUUUUGCUGUAAAGGAGGUUUCUUUGCUUGAUCAAGGAAGUCAGGCCCAACAAUGCAUUCUUCAACUUGAGCAGGAGAUUGCUCUUCUAAGUCAGUUUGAACAUGAGAAUAUAGUUCAAUAUCUUGGCACAGACAAGGAAGAAGCAAAAUUAUAUAUCUUCCUUGAGCUCGUAACACAAGGUUCUUUGGCACGUCUAUAUGAAAAGUAUCAUUUGCGAGAUUCCCAAGUCUCUGCCUACACAAGGCAGAUUCUGAGUGGCUUGAAGUAUCUUCAUGAUCGAAAUGUGAUGCACAGAGAUAUCAAAUGUGCCAAUAUAUUGGUGGAUGCAAGUGGAUCUGUUAAACUUGCAGAUUUCGGAUUGGCAAAGGAGACAAGCAAAUUAAACAUGCUGAAAUCUUGCAAAGGAAGUGCAUUCUGGAUGGCUCCUGAGGUGGUCAAUCCUCGAAAGACCUAUGGGCUUGCAGCUGAUAUUUGGAGCCUUGGUUGCAGUGUCUUAGAGAUGUUAACCCGUACUCAUCCCUACUCUCAAUUUGAAUGGAUGCAAGCAUUAUAUAGGAUUGGUCAUGGAGAACCGCCACCUGUUCCUAAUUCUCUGUCAAGAGAAGCAAGGGAUUUCAUCCAACAAUGCUUACAAGUUGAACCAGAAGAUCGACCCUCUGCAUCUGAGUUAUUAGACCAUCCGUUCGUGAGGAGGCCGCUGCCAACUUCAAUGGGCCCAGUUUCUCCGCAUAACAACAAACGGGCUUAAGCUUCAUGUUCAUCAACUUCCGAUGAUCCAAGGCGAGUUGCACUCUGAAACUGCUUAAACACAUGGUUCUAGAUGCUAUUGCUUUGGAGCGUUUUUUGAGAGUGCAUAUGGCGUUGUUUCUAGAGGUUUUUUGAGAGUGCCUAUGGUGUUUGUUUCUAGAGGUGCAUAGUACUUGGUUUUCAGUUGGUAGAACAAGGUGAUGGUUCACAGUGAUCAAGACUGUUGGUCUAAUGCUACCUAACAUGGAUGGACUGGACCAUUCACCGAAAAUUUCCCAGUUCUAUUGCUGCAUUCGCUUGCGGUCUUCAAUACGGGUCCUUUGGUCACUGUCGAAAGAUUGGAACUUCAUGGGUGCGGUUUCAAUUUCGGUUGGCUGGUAUGGGUAUAAUGACAGGCAAGCCACUAUAAGCCAAAUCAAGGAUUCCUGCAGCUCAUGUGAGGCAUGCAAGAUGCAGAUUGGAGGCUUUUUAUCUGAUGCACAUCCUGCUGUUGUUGUAAUUUUCUUUUUCUCUUUCUUUUGGGAGAUUCUUCCCAUGGUUCUUUUUUUUAUUUUCCCUUUUCUUUUGGCAAAUGCCUAUUUAUCUUUCUCAAAGGGUGAUUUUUUAUGGGAAAAUUCUAGAAAUUAACCCCAUCUGGUGAAAUCUUGGAAACAGUUUAUAUACUAAGCAGUGAAACAAACAUAGCAUGUUUCUGGUGGA